rnacentral:rRNA from 1 species
GACGAACGCUGGCGGCGUGCUUAACACAUGCAAGUCGAACGCUGAAGCUCAGCUUUUGUUGGGUGGAUGAUUGGCGAACGGGUGAGUAACACGUGAGUAACCUGCCUCCUUCUUUGGGAUAACGCCCGGAAACGGGUGCUAAUACUGGAUAUUCACUGGUCUUCCCAUUGGGGCUGGGGGAAAGGGUUUUUCUGGUGGGGGAUGGGCUCGCGGCCUAUCAGCUUGUUGGUGGGGUGAUGGCCUACCAAGGCUUUGACGGCUAGCCGGGCUGAGAGGGUGACCGGUCACAUUGGGACUGAGAUACGGCCCAGACUCCUACGGGGGGGAGAAGUGGGGAAUAUUGCACAAUGGGCGCAAGCCUGAUGCAGCGACGCCGCGUGAGGGAUGGAGGCCUUCGAGUUGUGAACCUCUUUCGCUCAUGGUCAAGCCGCAACAAUGGUUGUGGUGAGGGUAGUGGGUAAAGAAGCGCCGGCUAACUACGUG